rnacentral:tRNA from 3 species
GGCGGAGUGGCCGAGUGGUUCAGGCAAGGGCCUGCAAAGCCCUGUACGCGGGUUCGAUUCCCGCCUCCGCCU